rnacentral:rRNA from 1 species
AGAGUUUGAUCCUGGCUCAGAUUGAACGCUGGCGGCAGGCCUAACACAUGCAAGUCGAGCGGUAGAGAGAAGCUUGCUUCUCUUGAGAGCGGCGGACGGGUGAGUAAUACCUAGGAAUCUGCCUGGUAGUGGGGGAUAACGUUCGGAAACGGACGCUAAUACCGCAUACGUCCUACGGGAGAAAGCAGGGGACCUUCGGGCCUUGCGCUAUCAGAUGAGCCUAGGUCGGAUUAGCUAGUUGGUGAGGUAAUGGCUCACCAAGGCUACGAUCCGUAACUGGUCUGAGAGGAUGAUCAGUCACACUGGAACUGAGACACGGUCCAGACUCCUACGGGAGGCAGCAGUGGGGAAUAUUGGACAAUGGGCGAAAGCCUGAUCCAGCCAUGCCGCGUGUGUGAAGAAGGUCUUCGGAUUGUAAAGCACUUUAAGUUGGGAGGAAGGGCAUUAACCUAAUACGUUAGUGUUUUGACGUUACCGACAGAAUAAGCACCGGCUAACUCUGUGCCAGCAGCCGCGGUAAUACAGAGGGUGCAAGCGUUAAUCGGAAUUACUGGGCGUAAAGCGCGCGUAGGUGGUUUGUUAAGUUGAAUGUGAAAUCCCCGGGCUCAACCUGGGAACUGCAUCCAAAACUGGCAAGCUAGAGUAUGGUAGAGGGUAGUGGAAUUUCCUGUGUAGCGGUGAAAUGCGUAGAUAUAGGAAGGAACACCAGUGGCGAAGGCGACUACCUGGACUGAUACUGACACUGAGGUGCGAAAGCGUGGGGAGCAAACAGGAUUAGAUACCCUGGUAGUCCACGCCGUAAACGAUGUCAACUAGCCGUUGGGAGUCUUGAACUCUUAGUGGCGCAGCUAACGCAUUAAGUUGACCGCCUGGGGAGUACGGCCGCAAGGUUAAAACUCAAAGGAAUUGACGGG